rnacentral:rRNA from 1 species
CCUACGGGCGGCAGCAGUGGGGGAUAUUGCACAAUGGGCGCAACCCUGAUGCAGCGACGCCGCGUGGGUGAAGAAGCGCCUCGGCGCGUAAAGCUCUGUCAGCAGGGAAGAAAAUGACGGUACCUGCAGAAGAAGCCCCGGCUAACUACGUGCCAGCAGCCGCGGUAAUACGUAGGGGGCAAGCGUUAUCCGGAUUGACUGGGUGUAAAGGGGGCGCAGACGGCGAUGCAAGCCAGGAGUGAAAGCCCGGGGCCCAACCCCGGGACUGCUCUUGGAACUGGAUGGCUAGAGGGCAGGAGGGGCAGGCGGAAUUCCGGGUGUAGCGGUGAAAUGCGUAGAUAUCAGGAGGAACACCGGUGGCGAAGGCGGCCUGCUGGACUGCAACUGACGUUGAGGCCCGAAAGCGUGGGGAGCAAACAGGAUUAGAUACCCCGGUAGUC